UACGGGGGGGGCAAGCGUUGUUCGGAAUUACUGGGCGUAAAGGGCUCGUAGGUGGCCAACUAAGUCAGACGUGAAAUCCCUCGGCUUAACCGGGGAACUGCGUCUGAUACUGGAUGGCUUGAGUUUGGGAGAGGGAUGCGGAAUUCCAGGUGUAGCGGUGAAAUGCGUAGAUAUCUGGAGGAACACCGGUGGCGAAGGCGGCAUCCUGGACCACACUGACACUGAGGAGCGAAAGCCAGGGGGAGCAAACGGG
rnacentral:rRNA from 1 species